UGUCCAACAGCGAACGAAGGGAUAGUGUGUUGGUCAUAACUGAAAGAAAAAAAUACUAGCCUAUUAGUAUAUGAAUUAUUUUUAAUUCUGAAGAUAUGGACUUUAGUCUAAAGGUUCUCUCACUAUUUUUAACGAAUUGAUAGCCUCUACCUCCAACUCGAGGAAUUACAUUAAUUUCUUAGUGGGUACUAGAAUCCACACAGACUGCAUUC
rnacentral:lncRNA from 1 species